GGUCUUGUAGCUCAGGGGAUAGUGCGGCUCUUCGACUUAGCGUUGGUCGCGGGUUCGAUUCCCGCCAAGGAUU
rnacentral:tRNA from 1 species